CUGCUGCCUUGCAGUUUGAUCUCAGACUGCUGUGCUAGCAGUCAGCGAGACUCCGUGGGCGUAGGACCCUCCGAGCCAGGUGCGGGAUAUAAUCUCGUGGUGCGCCGUUUUUUAAGCCCGUCGGAAAAGCGCAGUAUUCAGGUGAGAGUGACCCGAUUUUCCAGGUGCCGUCCGUCACCCCUUUCUUUGACUUGGAAAGGGAACUCCUUGACCCCUUGUGCUUCCCAAGCGAGGCAAUGCCUCGCCCUUCUUCGGCUCGCGCACGGUGCGCGCACCCACUGACCUGCGCCCACUGUCUGGCACUCCCUAGAGAAAUGAACCCGGUACCUCAGAUGGAAAUGCAGAAAUCACUGUCUUCUGCGUCGCUCACGCUGGGAGCUGUCGACCGGAGCUGUUCCUAUUCGGCCAUCCUGGCUCCCCAUCAGUGGUGUCUUUCAUUUCUCCAUCUCAAUCUUCUUUGCCACGUCAUGCAUGCCCUUGAAGCAUUAGAAUUCCUUAAAGCUUCAUGGGAGAAUGCCAUGGGAUGAUGAAGACAGAGAUUGGAGUCAUGCAUCUGCAAGCCAAGAAAUGUACAAGAUUGCUGGCAAACCACCAGAAGCUAGGAGCAGACAAGGAAGGAUCCUCCCCUAAAGGUUUCAGAGGGAGCCAUGGCCUUGCUGACAUCUUGAUUUCAGACUUCUAUCCUCCAGAAUGGGGACCUCUGAGGGUCUAUUUGAGGGCAUGAAUAUGGAAAAUUCAGCUCCAGCUCCUCCACCCCACUCCCUGAACAGCACUGCAGAACUGUGCUAAGCUCCUGUGGCUUGGAAAGAACAGAUGCAAGAGACAUAAUAAAUGCCUCCAAAUAACUUAGUCCUCAACCUGAAGCCAAAGUGAUUUCGGUGUACCAGGAUUGAAAUACUUCUGUAUUCACAACUGAAUGGAUAAACGGGCACUCCUUGUGGCUCCUCAUUGUAUGUCCCCUAGAGGGUCAGCAAGGCCAAGAAUUGGUUUGUGGAACAAAUAUCCAUUACUCCAAUCGGGGAUGAAAAAGAGUACACGCCAUGGAUUUUGCUCUCGGGAGUGAUUGAUUCAGCGAGUGAAAUAAGACCAACAUGCAUGGAAGGGUUGAUGAUGCUAGAAUCUCCCACACUUUGCCAGCCACAGGGAAGUCAAAUCAGUAUUGACUUUGUUAUUCAAAUCAGCACCAGACCGGUCACUUUUAGAAGUGAUACCAUGGGAGGCAAUUAAACCCAGGAAAAUGCUGAGCACUAGAGUGACCAUGCAAGAAGGGGCCUUAGAGAUAGAUCCUGUACGUCUUCACCUGUUGGUGCCAGGGCCAGAACAGAGGCCUGCAAGGGUAAGAGCAAGCUCAGCACCACAGAACUUGUAGGUAACAGAGCCGGGCUCAAGUGCACGCUUCCUGACUGCAAUUUCAACACUCCCAUUCAAGGUGAGAGUGAAAAAUAUUUUCCCCUAGGCUUUCCCCAGUGAUAUUCCCCUAUGCACCAGCAGAGCAUGAGGGUAUGAGACGAAGAUGCACAUCCUAGCCCUAGCUUUGCUACUGACUAGCCACGUGUGUUUGAGCAACUCACAAAACUUCUCCAGAUUUCAGACUCCUCAUUUGUAAAAUAAAGUCAUUUGAUUUGUCCAUUGCUCUCCAUAGUUCACCAAAGUGCCCCUCGUAGGAGAGUGGAAUGGAUGAUGUUUAGAGUAGAAGCUUGGAGAUGUGGCAAUAAGUGACCUUGUGCAAGUGAGAAAUGCACUCAAUAUAUUGGAAUUUGUCUGUCUUAAUAAUUUGUGUGGCUUCUACAUUUUACUUAGUAAUAUAUCUGUGUUUGCUUUCGGGUGAAAAUACUGUUUGAAAUGUCUUACUAUCCAUGAAACUUGGUUUACCAAAGAGGGCCUGUUUUCCCUGAGGUACAAGGACUAGAAGGUUUUCUGAGGCCACCCCCAGCCCCCAUUCAUUGAUUUCGUGUCUUAAGUUGUUUGUGUUUUUUAUUUUAUCACACCCUCCUAUUUCUGGUUCCCAGAAUGUAAGUAGUUCUCCCUCCACAAUGUUCAACAGUCCUCAAUAAUGCCCGGCUAUGUGAAGAUGGAAAGAUGAGGGAAAAUUAGCACCAUAAGCAGAGUCUGGAAAGGUACACAGACAUUUAACAGAUGGAAACAGGAGGGCUGCCAUUCUAGAAAGAUAUGAGGACUGCUCAUCAGCCUGGCUUCCGCUAGAGGAGAUCUAC
rnacentral:lncRNA from 1 species